CCCCGGGCUAUUGCUUUAGAUGUUGGGUCGGGAGGUGCCGGUGUUUUCUUUAGCGUAGAGCUGGAUAAGAGAACAGGCAAAGCUGCCGUGCCGCUUGUGUGUCUUCCGGACAGAGCUGACCGCGCUGUUUGGAAUUUCUGUGGGCGGUCCGUGCAUGAAAUGCGUAAAUUCUGAUGCAGACUCCUCCUCUGCUUGCAUUUGGACCUUCAAGGAAGCAGGAAAGCUGUCGGUUCUGCUUUCAGCGGUGCGGGGAAAGCUGCUGUGCUAGGAAGCAUGGAAAGCCUCUGUGCAGCCAACACCACUUUUGCAGUGGACCUGUUAAGGAUGCUGUGUGAGAAGAAAAGUGGGCAGAACGUGUUCUUUUCGCCCUUUAGUAUUUCUUCUGCUUUGUCCAUGGUUUUGCUGGGUUCAAAAGGUAGCACAGAAGCCCAAAUAAGCAAGGUGCUUUCUCUGAGCAGCGUCAAGGAUGCUCACAAUGGGUAUCAAUUCCUUCUGUCCAAAAUUAAUGAUCCCAACAGCAAGUACAUCCUGAGAACUGCAAACCGGCUGUACGGAGAAAAGACCUUGGAGCUUCUUCCAGUAAGUAGCCAUUAAAUUUGUUAUGAGU